rnacentral:rRNA from 1 species
UACGUAGGGCGCGAGCGUUGUCCGGAAUUACUGGGCGUAAAGCGCACGUAGGCGGCUUUGUAAGUUAGAGGUGAAAGCCCAGGGCUUAACCCUGGAAUUGCCUUUAAGACUGCAUCGCUAGAAUCGUGGAGAGGUGAGUGGAAUUCCGAGUGUAGAGGUGAAAUUCGUAGAUAUUCGGAAGAACACCAGUGGCGAAGGCGACUCACUGGACACGUAUUGACGCUGAGGUGCGAAAGCGUGGGGAGCAAACAGG